AUUGAACGCUGGCGGAAGGCAUAACACAUGCAAGUCGAACGAGUGGCGGACGGGUGAGUAAUGUCUGGGAAACUGCCUGAUGGAGGGGGAUAACUACUGGAAACGGUAGCUAAUACCGCAUACCAUCAGAUGUGCCCAGAUGGGAUUAGCUUGGUGGUGGGGUAACGGCUCACCCAGGCGACGAUCCCUAGCUGGUCUGAGAGGAUGACCGGCCACACUGUAACUGAGAGAAGGUCCAGACGACGACGGGAGGCAGCAGUGGGGAAUAUUGCUCAAUGGGCGCAAGCCUGAUGCAGCCAUGCCGCGUGUAUGAAGAAGGCCUUCGGGUUGUAAAGUACAUUCAGCGGGGAGGCGUUACCCGCAGAAGAAGCACCGGCUAACUCCGUGCCAGCAGCCGCGGUAAUAC
rnacentral:rRNA from 1 species